ensembl:lncRNA
CUCCAUGCACUACUAUCCUACCUUCAGUCUUGGAAGUUACUACUUUGCACCCUGUGAAAGCCCAAGUGCUGCAGAGAGAUUUCUCCUCUCUCUGCCUUGCUCCUACCCUGCCAUGAGCCAUUGUCUUAACUUGGGAAAGGUCUGAGCACCUUAUAUGGGGUGUCUCUAAGCUACCCUGCCCUCCUCCCAGCCUUCAGCGUACUAUUCAUGUACACUGCUGAAGGCCUAUGGGGAAUGGUUGGCAGUUAGGCGCAUUCUCUUUCUGUGGUUGAGGUUUCUUGGGAUUCUAAUGCUUCAUGCCAGCUCACAUGCAGUCUUUACAAAUUCAUUAAAAUAUGGCUGGUUUUUCCUCAUCACCUGCUAUGAUAUAUUCUUUCCUCUUUCAGCUGCUCUGCUAGAAUGCAAACAGAUACAGAUCUCUACUGUUAAAAAAAGGAGUCUUCUGCACCUUCUGGCUUUUCAUUUAGUUAGAUUAUUUCUGUCCUCAGAUCUCUGGUGGGUUUUAAAAAACCAUGCUUUUGUUGCUUAUCUGGUUUAUGGUUAUUGUUGGGGAUCUGGCGUUGCUGUGAGCUGUGGUGUAGGUCACAGACGUGGCUCGGACCCCACAUUGUUGUGGCUGCGGCUGUGGUCUAGGCCGGCAGUUGUAGCUCUGAUUCAACCCUUAGCCUGGGAACUUCGAUAUGUUGCGGGUGUGGCCCUAAAAAGUAAAAAAAAAUUUAAAAAUAACUAAAACACAAGAAGAAACAAGCCCAAAUAAACAAAAGGCAGCAGGAAAAAAUAUAUAUAAACUGAAAUGUCAGACUCCCAAGAUUGAUAUUGAAAUUAUUAGAUACAGAUUAUACAGCAAGGAUGUUGAUCUACCUAAAUUUUAGCUGCAUGAAUGAAAAUGAGAAUUUUAAAAUCAUAGUGUUGGGCAAAAAGAAGCAAGUCCCAAAUCAAUAAAAUGGAGAAAUGAGUUUUAGUCUAUUUAUACAACACAUAUCACAGAGCAAUUUAAAAAAUGUACUAGAGCUAUGCAUACCAGGAUGGAAGAAUCUCAGAAAUAGAAUGAUGAGUGAGAAGGGCAUUAAUAAAUACAUAUGACAUGAGCUCUUUUAUGUAAGUUUCAAGACCUGGGAAAAUUAAAUAUUCUAUUGUUUAGGAAUAUAGCAUAUAUUAUAAAACUAUUUUUUAAAGUAGCUGGUAGUUUAUAAUACAGGAUAGUGGUUUCAUAUGGAUGAGAAGGAGAGGGAAAGAGGGGGCAUGGUGAGCUGAAAAAGUUUGUUGGGUUGUGUUUCCUUUCUUUUUUUCUCUUUUGGCUGCCCCACGUCAUAUGGAAUUUCCGGGCCAGGGGUCAGAUCCGAGCUGCAGUUGCAUCCUAUGCCACAGCUAUGACAACGUCAGAGCCUUAACCCACUGUGCCAGACUGGGGAUUGAACCUGUGUCCCAAUGCUUCAGAGACACUACUGAUCCUGUUGGCCACAGUGGGAACUCCAGGGUUGUAUUUUAUUUCUUGAGCCAGGAGGUUUAAUAUACAGGUGUUUAUUAACAUUAUUUAAGGGAGUUCCCGUCAUGGCACAGUGGUUAACGAAUCCAACUGGGAACCAUGAGGUUGCGGGUUCCAUCCCUACCCUUGAUCAGUGAGUUGAUGAUUGGGCGUUGCCUUGAGCUGUGGUGUAGGUCACAGACGUGGCUCGGAUCCCGCAUUGCUGUGGCUCUGGCGUAGGUCAGCGGCUACAGGUCCGAUUGGACCCCUAGCCUGGGAACCUCCAUAUGCCGCGGGAGCAGCCCAAGAAAUGGCAAAAAGACAAAAAAGAAAAAAAAA